GAUGAAGAACGCAGCGAAAUGCGAUACGUAAUGUGAAUUGCAAAUUCAGUGAAUCAUCGAGUCUUUGAACGCACAUUGCGCCCCCUGGUAUUCCGGGGGGCAUGCCUGUCCGAGCGUCAUUGCUGCCCUCAAGCACGGCUUGUGUGUUGGGCCCCGUCCUCCGAUCCCGGGGGCCGGGCCCGAAAGGCAGCGGCGGCACCGCGUCCGGUCCUCGAGCGUAUGGGGCUUUGUCACCCGCUCUGUAGGCCCGGCCGGCGCUUGCCGAUCAACCCAAAUUUUUAUCCAGGUUGACCUCGGAUCAGGUAGGGAUACCCGCUGAACUUAAGCAUAUCAAUAAGCGGAGGA
rnacentral:misc_RNA from 1 species